rnacentral:lncRNA from 1 species
UUUAUACGCAUUACAUAUACAAUAUUAAACUUUUUUUUUUUUAUGGUUUUAUUAUGAAAGAUAUUAACAGAGAAAAGUACAAUGACCGACAAAGCAAGAGAAGUUAUGAAUGAUAUACUGAACAUUAAUUCUAAAAUAAAGCCUCCUAAAGAAGUGGAAAAAAAAAACGAAGAAAAUGUUAAUACAGAAUUAAACAAAAAUGAAUUUAAUUUAUUAAACAAUGAAAAUAAGCAAGGGACUAAUGAUUCUAAAAUAGAUAAUACUGUAAGUUUUUUCAAUUAUACACCAUAUUAAUGUACAUACAUUAUGCAAAUAUAUAUGCAUAUAUAUAUAUAUAUAUUUUUUUUUUUUUUUCUUUUCAGAAUUAUGUUCCCGAAAUUCAUGAUUUAAACGAAACUAUUAUGAAAGAAAUGGAUGACCCAGAAAGGUAUGCGACUAUUAAAUACAGCAUUUUACAUAUAUUUUCGGUAAUUAUAGUUGUAUCUGAUUUUGUAGUUAUAUUCGUAUAUGUAUCUAUAUAAUAUAUACAAUUUAUUUAAAUAUAAUUUAUGAAAAAUGUUAUAUUUGUAGAUGUAGAGAUGUAGCAAUUUGCACAGAUGAAAAUAUAAAAAAAAUGAUAAAAACAUUAGAAAAAUAUUCUUAACAAGUUUAUAAUGUUUUGAAACAUACAUAUAGAUAUACAUAAACAUAUAUAUAUAUAUAUAUAUAUACGUAUGUGCUAAUGUAAUUGUAAAAAAAUUAAAUACAAGCCAAACAUAUUAUAAAAAAAAUGCAUCGAUGUAGUACAAAUCGAAUGUAAAAACGAGUGAACAAAUAAUUUCAAUUAAGAAUGCUAAUUAACACAAACAUUGUAUAUGAAAAACAAAGAUGCACAUUACAUACAUACUUGUGUAUAUAUAUACACACGCUUGCUCUUGCAUGUACAUAUUUUAGUUUUUAUUUUUUUUACUCACAAAAAUGUAAUAUUUAUCCAUCCUUUAAUGAAAGUCUUUACGAAUCAAAUUUUAUCAUACCUCUUUCAUAAUUAUUUUUUCUUUUAAGAUAUAAUUCAUACUUUUUAGACGAUCAUAGCGAAGGUAAUUAAAAAGCGAUAAUAAAAAAACAGAUUACGCAAAAAUAUACA